GAUGAACGCUGACAGAAUGCUUAACCCAUGCAAGUCAACUGUGGCGGACGGGUGAGUAACGCGUAAAGAACUUGCCUCCCAGCUAGGGACACCAUUUGGACACGAAUGCUCAUACCUGCUACUGUGAGAGAGCUUUGCGUCCCAUUAGCUAGUUGGAGAGGUAACGGCUCACCAAGGCGAUGAUGGGUAGCCGGCCUGAGAGGGUGAUCGGCCACAAGGGGACUGAGACACGGCCCUUACUCCUACGGGAGGCAGCAGUGGGGAAUAAUGGACAAUGGACCAAAGUCUGAUCCAGCAAUUCUGUGUGCACGAUGAAGUUUUCGGAAUGUAAAGUGCUUUCAGUUGGGAAGCGGUACCAACAGAAGAAGUGACGGCUAAAUACGUGCCAGCAGCCGCGGUAAUUC
rnacentral:rRNA from 1 species